rnacentral:rRNA from 1 species
UACGGAGGGUGCAAGCGUUAAUCGGAAUUACUGGGCGUAAAGCGUGCGCAGGCGGUUUGUUAAGUCCGCUGUGAAAUCCCCGAGCUCAACUUGGGAAUUGCAGUGGAUACUGGCAGGCUGGAGUACGGUAGAGGAAGGUGGAAUUCCCGGUGUAGCAGUGAAAUGCGCAGAUAUCAGGAGGAACACCGGUGGCGAAGGCGGGUCUCUGGGCCGAUACUGACGCUGAGGAGCGAAAGCGUGGGGAGCGAACAGG